GGAGAGAUGUCAGAGUGGUCGAAUGUGCUCGCUUGGAAAGCGUGUAUACCGCAAGGUAUCGGAGGUUCGAAUCCUCUUCUCUCCGCCA
rnacentral:tRNA from 1 species